rnacentral:rRNA from 1 species
GACGAACGCUGGCGGCGUGCUUAACACAUGCAAGUCGAACGGAAAGGCCCCUUCGGGGGUGCUCGAGUGGCGAACGGGUGAGUAACACGUGGGCAACCUGCCCCUGGCUCUGGGAUAACUCCGGGAAACCGGGGCUAAUACUGGAUAUUCACUUCCUGCCGCAUGGUGGGUGGUGGAAAGUUUUUCGGCUGGGGAUGGGCCCGCGGCCUAUCAGCUUGUUGGUGGGGUGAUGGCCUACCAAGGCGACGACGGGUAGCCGGCCUGAGAGGGCGACCGGCCACACUGGGACUGGGACACGGCCCAGACUCCUACGGGAGGCAGCAGUGGGGAAUAUUGCGCAAUGGGCGGAAGCCUGACGCAGCGACGCCGCGUGAGGGAUGACGGCCUUUGGGUUGUAAACCUCUUUCAGCUCUGACGAAGCGAGAGUGACGGUAGGAGCAGAAGAAGCACCGGCCAACUACGUGCCAGCAGCCGCGGUAACAC